UUCCUUUGAGUUUCUCUGGAGCACAAGUUCGCUCCAAUAAACCUUGUUUACUGAAGGAACCCUGCAUAGUCCUUAGCUCCGUGACAAUAUGUACUCGCUAUAGUUGUCAUGCGUAAGGGACGACAUGCGUAAGAACGACGACGAUGAAGAACACGCAGUGUUCCAAAUAGCACGAGCGCUCGAGGCGCGUGACCUGAGCCGUGAAAGAAGGAAAAGGAAUCGCUGAGCUGGCAUUGUCUGCGUGGCUCCGGUCUGAGAAGGUUGCCUCCGCAGCCACGCACUGGUGAUGUGAGCAGCGGGUGUUCGGCUCCGGACGCCAUGACGCUGGCAGUCCAAGGCGUGGCCGUCGACCUCGGCGACGUUCGAGCGAGGCUCCUCGGGCUUGCUGCAGCCUCUCACGGUAGUUCCGGGUACCCCAGCAGCAAUCCCCCUUCGAAGGCAGGCCAGCGGCGGCACGCAAGACAGUCGCCGGGGCACUUCGUUGUCAAUUCAGCAAGGCACUGGACGGAAGCGGCGGCCGAAUCCGUCACUAGGCCUAACUUGCCGAGCCGCAAUGCCACGUCAUCGACAACGACCGGGAUACUCGGGCUGCUACAUCAGCGACAACUUCGACAAGAGCGUCGGGUGCAAUGCCUCUGGACGAGACACGACUUUGGCGGGGAGACCGAAAGAGUCGACGACGAAAACACCACUACCAGCGCACCCACUCUUUCCGCCGUUCUUAGCUACGGCUGCAAAAGAGAAUAUUGGAUGCUCGGCUUGGGUAUCCGUGCAGCGGUAAGGUGGGCGCUGACCGACCACACGGCCCAUUGGUACAGGGGUCACGUGGACGUGGUGCCUCUACAGUAGCACCAAGUGUACCUGUUUCUGUACACCUAUGUCCACUGGGGCGGCCACGCCUUCAGCGUCUUGUUGACGGUGCUGUCUGCAGUUAGCCGCUACGACCAUGCCAUGGCUCAUGGGGCAGUGGCCGGCAUCAUCAUCGUCGGCACUGGCAGCAUCUUGACCACCACCCUUCUGAAGACGAAGUUUGACAUGCUCCCCCAGACGGUAAGGUCAGCGGCCCUGCAAUUCCUCAUGUGCCUUUACAUACAUGGUGUACGACCUUGUCGCUUGCAUCGUUGGAUGCAUCAAGGACUCGGUUAGGCCGGACAUCAUGUUGAUGUAGGAUACCGAUCCUUCCAACCAUCUCAUCAACAUUGAGCUGCUGUGGAGAGAGCGAGUGGUGGACCAGAGCCCUUGCGGUGCGAUUCGUGCACAGAAUGAUCCUGCUCUAUUGGACCGCGAAUACCAUGGAAUCAGAGGUGGAUAACGUUCCGAUUGCAGACAGGAACACCUUUCUGUGGUUCUGCCUGUACCUUCGCUUUGCGGACAUUAUAUACAGCCUUGUAUUGAUAUCUUUAGUCCCAUUCGGACCAUAUGAUUACCCUGUACUACAUGGUUGCCUGGCUGCGGUUGUUAUCCUUGGAACGUUGAGCGUAAUCGUGGCCGGCUAUUACGUGAGACGAAAACUGCAACCGGCAGCAACAAGCUUGAUGACAAUGGUACUGAGGCAAAUUACACUAGCAUAUACAGGAGCCGCAAUCGGGGCAAUAACAAUGGGAGCAAUGAAGGACAUGCUCAGCCCCGACAUACAGAUCAUGUAGGAGACCGAUCCUUCCAACCAUCUCGUCAACUUUGAGCUGCUGCGGAGAGAGCGAGUGGUGGACCAGAGCCCUUGCGGUGCGAUUUGUGCUCAGAACGAUCCUGUCCUAUUGGACAGGGAAUACCAUGGAAUCAGAGGUGGAUAACGUGCCCAUUGCCGACUGGAACGCCUUUCUGUGGGUUUGCCUGUACCUUCGUUUUGCUGUCGACAUAUACAGCCUUAUAUUGAUAUUUUUAGUCCCAUUCAAACCGUACGAUUACCCGCGCCUACAAAAU